GCGGGGCCUAGCCUCAGAGAGGGGAGGGAAGAGGCGGGAGGAGGAGGUGAGAGAGGCCGGGGGCGGGGCCGUGCGGCCGGGGACCUGUUGAUCGCAGGUAUAGCCGGCUGGCCCGGACUCCCUCGGGACUGGGGCGACUGCGCAUGCUCGCUGGCCGCGCUGGGCCGGUAGCCGAGCCGCGGUGACGAACCGGCUCCGCGGUUGCGGUGUUUGCGGUUGCUGUGAUGGCGAUGUGAGGGGGCCCGGGGCGGGAUGGUGCUUACCCGGGUAGGGCCGUCUUCUUCCAGCUGGACAACGAGCUCCUCCGUCCGACAGGCGGGGGAAGAGGCCGACCCAGGCGAGAGGUUUGAAGAUCAACUGGAUUAUGUAUUUCGUUCUGGAAUCUCAAAGCAGUCCACAAACAAAUUCUUCCUUACGUUGUCUGUGUCAGGGGGAACGGUAUAUUUUUAA
rnacentral:lncRNA from 1 species